rnacentral:rRNA from 1 species
UGAGGAAUAUUGGACAAUGGGCGCAAGCCUGAUCCAGCAAUGCCGCGUGCAGGAUGAAGGCCUUCGGGUUGUAAACUGCUUUUGUACGGAGCGAAAAGGUCUGCCCUAAUACGGUGGGCUCAUCACGGUACCGUAAGAAUAAGCACCGGCUAACUACGUGCCAGCAGCCGCGGUAAUACGUAGGGUGCGAGCGUUAAUCGGAAUUACUGGGCGUAAAGCGUGCGCAGGCGGUUAUAUAAGACAGAUGUGAAAUCCCCGGGCUCAACCUGGGACCUGCAUUUGUGACUGUAUAGCUAGAGUACGGUAGAGGGGGAUGGAAUUCCGCGUGUAGCAGUGAAAUGCGUAGAUAUGCGGAGGAACACCGAUGGCGAAGGCAAUCCCCUGGGCCUGCGCUGACGCUCAUGCACGAAAGCGUGGGGAGCAAACA